GUUUUUUUGCUCUUCUGCUCUUGCAGGCAUUACAUUUUCGUUAUUGGGUAAAAUAGUCGUUUCGUUACAGCAGAGAAGAAAUACCAAGGCCUCAAAGGACUCAUACGAAGAAUAAUGUCUUUAAACUCUGUGGCUCAAAGGGCAAAGAAGAGCAAAAAAAGAACGCCAUACAGACUAUGGACAACAAAACAGCAGAAAAAAGAGGCCUACUCCAUGUAUUGCUUGCGGGGUUCAACGAAGGAAUGUAUGAUGGCUAUAUGGGUGUGUGGGUGGAUGGACGUUGUGUUCUGUAGCAGGGGUCUAGCUAUGACUGUUGGCUUGGUCUGACAUCCGGUAUGAAACAAAGAAAAAAAAGGCAGCAAAAAAUUCCCCGUGCAGGCGUUACACAUUACGGUUGUAAUCAUAAUUUUCGAUCAAGAAAAAUUGUAUAAUAAUCGUAGUAAUAUCACACAAUCACAUGAACACCCAACCACCCACUCAAACACACUCAUGUUUGCCACGUCGUCUCUAAGCACUUGUUUGGCAUAACAUGUACACAUAUACAUACUUUCACAGAUGUGUCGGCAUACAUUCACACACUCGAAGGAAACUCAAUGAAAACAAAGUUAUAACAAACUGUAAACAAAACUCUCACGCACACACACUCAAACACUACAUAUACAUAGAUACUAAACUCACAAAAUAAUGAGAGCAAAUAAAAAAACCAUCGAACCAUGAGAAAAAACAAAAAUAGAAGACCACCAACCUGGAAUAUGAAUGGCUCCGCCAGGAUGUCACCGAAUUCAAAGAAUAAUUUGCAGUGCACGAAGAAAAACCCCAAAAAGGCUUUUUGCAAUUAAACUAAAGAAAAUAUGCGUGUGUACGUAACAAAUGGAAGCGUAUAAUUGCUAAUUUAGAUCAAUGGCUUUAUAAAUCAUACGCUCCAUGGACCAUGGCUUAAUUUGUCUCAGCAGCCAUCAUUUGUGGGUAUUUGUGGAAUUGCAAAUAAAUUAUUUGAUUUGGAAAAGAGUGGUCCAUUUGCAAA
rnacentral:sRNA from 1 species